GACGUAGGGCGCGAGCGUUGUCCGGAUUUAUUGGGCGUAAAGAGCUCGUAGGCGGCUUGUCGCGUCGACUGUGAAAACCCGAGGCUCAACUUCGGGCUUGCAGCCGAUACGGGCAGGCUAGAGUUCGGCAGGGGAGACUGGAAUUCCUGGUGUAGCGGUGAAAUGCGCAGAUAUCAGGAGGAACACCGGUGGCGAAGGCGGGUCUCUGGGCCGAUACUGACGCUGAGGAGCGAAAGCGUGGGGAGCGAACAGG
rnacentral:rRNA from 1 species